AUAAAAUGUUUGCAAGUGUUUUAAGGAAAAUGUAUAUAAUCAUUUUUAACCCCUGCCUUUUAGUAUAAGGUCAAUACUGCCAAUUUCAUCUGUGACAAUAGCACUUGGAGUCAUACCAUUGCCUCCAUUAUUGAUCUGAUCCUCCUCAAUCCUCCUUUUGACAAUCCUAAAAUGAUUGAAAUGUGCUCCACAAUCCUUAAUCCAAAGCAUUCUUAAUCCAUCUCUUCAGAUAUGUCUACAGAAAGACACAUGAAAAGCAAGAUAAACAUAAGAACUUCCCCAGGUAAGAUAACCACAAACACCCCCAACAUCCCAGUUCACACAAACCAGGGCAGAUAGACAUUUACACAAUAUCACAGUCUGAAGAGUAUGGAGUUAACUAAAUUUAAACAAUCCUGUCUAUGACAUCACUUAAAAUACAAUUUAUCAAAGACACGAAG
rnacentral:lncRNA from 1 species